rnacentral:lncRNA from 1 species
GUUGGUGAUGGAAUACUAUUGUGCUCAAGGGAAUAAUAAAGUGGAGGAAUUCCACGGAGACUGGAACAACCUCCAGGAAGUGAUGCAGAGCAAAAGGAGCAGAAAUGGGAAAACAUUGUCCCAUCUGGGUCGCCAUCUUGAACUCUCUCUUCAAAGUUCUUUUCAACUUUCCCUUACGGUACUUGUUGACUACUUGGGCCCCCACCGAGAGCGGCACCCCAUUACGGAGGGAAUCCUGGUUAGUUUCUUUUCCUUCGCUGACUAAUAUGCUUAAAUUCAGCGGGUCGCCACGUCUGAUCUGAGGUCACAUCUCAAAAGUAAUGGACUCCUCCACUAGGGCCAAUGCAAUGUCCCUGAACAAUCUGCAGGGAUCUAAA